rnacentral:SRP_RNA from 1 species
CCAUGCUAGAUGGGGAAUCAGCGGUGCCCUGUAACUUGCAAUCCGCUACAGCAAGAUUGAAUUCCCGAUCGAGGGUAUCUUUCUUGUGGUCUGCCCGAAACAAGUGAUGUUGAGGAGCGGGUCCUACGCAAUAGGCGCUUGCGAACCGUGUCAGGUCUUGACGGAAGCAGCACUAAGUAAGUCAGUCUAUGUGACGUAGAUUCGCCUGUUCUGAGUUAACUAUUUCGGUAACGCACGGGAAAUUUAUUCGAAGUCGGGUGCAUGG